UACGUAGGGGGCAAGCGUUGUCCGGAUUUAUUGGGCGUAAAGAGCGUGUAGGCGGCCAAGCAGGUCAGCUGUGAAAACUCGAGGCUCAACCUCGAGACGUCGGUUGAAACCGCUUGGCUAGAGUCCGGAAGAGGAGAGUGGAAUUCCCGGUGUAGCGGUGAAAUGCGCAGAUAUCGGGAGGAACACCAGUGGCGAAGGCGGCUUCUUGGCCUGUUCUUGACGCUGAGGCGCGAAAGCUAGGGGAGCAAACGGG
rnacentral:rRNA from 1 species